rnacentral:rRNA from 1 species
UGGGGAAUAUUGCGCAAUGGGGGGAACCCUGACGCAGCCAUGCCGCGUGAAUGAAGAAGGCCUUCGGGUUGUAAAGUUCUUUCGGUAUUGAGGAGGGUUGAUGUGUUAAUAGCACAUCAAAUUGACGUUAAAUACAGAAGAAGCACCGGCUAACUCCGUGCCAGCAGCCGCGGUAAUACGGAGGGUGCGAGCGUUAAUCGGAAUAACUGGGCGUAAAGGGCACGCAGGCGGUUAUUUAAGUGAGGUGUGAAAGCCCCGGGCUUAACCUGGGAAUUGCAUUUCAGACUGGGUAACUAGAGUACUUUAGGGAGGGGUAGAAUUCCACGUGUAGCGGUGAAAUGCGUAGAGAUGUGGAGGAAUACCGAAGGCGAAGCNAGCCCCUUGGGAAUGUACUGACGCUCAUGUGCGAAAGCGUGGGGAGCAAACAGGAUUAGAUACCCUGGUAGUCCACGCUGUAAACGCUGUCGAUUUGGGGGUUGGGGUUUAACUCUGGCGCCCGUAGCUAACGUGAUAAAUCGACCGCCUGGGGAGUACGGCCGCAAGGUUA